UGACCUCGGAUCAGGUAGGAAUACCCGCUGAACUUAAGCAUAUCAAUAAGCGGAGGAAAAGAAACCAACAGGGAUUGCCCUAGUAACGGCGAGUGAAGCGGCAACAGCUCAAAUUUGAAAUCUGGCUACUUUGUAGUCCGAGUUGUAAUUUGUAGAGGAUGCUUUUGGUGAAGUGCUUUCUGAGUUCCCUGGAACGGGACGCCAGAGAGGGUGAGAGCCCCGUACAGUUAGCAACUGAUCCUUUGUAUAGCUCCUUCGACGAGUCGAGUAGUUUGGGAAUGCUGCUCUAAAUGGGAGGUAUAUCUCUUCUAAAGCUAAAUAUAGGCUAGAGACCGAUAGCGCACAAGUAGAGUGAUCGAAAGAUGAAAAGCACUUUGAAAAGAGAGUUAAACAGCACGUGAAAUUGUUGAAAGGGAAGCGCCUAUGACCAGACUUGUCUCUAUCAGUUUUGGUAGUUUUCGGACUGCUUUACUCUGUUAGUACAGGCCAACAUCAGUUUGUUGUCGGGGAGAAAGGCUUA
rnacentral:rRNA from 1 species